AAGUCGUAACAAGGUCUCCGUUGGUGAACCAGCGGAGGGAUCAUUGCUGGAACGCGCUUCGGCGCACCCAGAAACCCUUUGUGAACUUAUACCUAUUGUUGCCUCGGCGCAGGCCGGCCUCUUCACUGAGGCCCCCUGGAGACAGGGAGCAGCCCGCCGGCGGCCAACCAAACUCUUGUUUCUACAGUGAAUCUCUGAGUAAAAAACAUAAAUGAAUCAAAACUUUCAACAACGGAUCUCUUGGUUCUG
rnacentral:misc_RNA from 1 species